rnacentral:rRNA from 1 species
UACGUAGGGUGCGAGCGUUAAUCGGAAUUACUGGGCGUAAAGCGUGCGCAGGUGGCAAUGUAAGUCUGCUGUCAAAGCGUCUGGCUCAACCAGAUAAAGGCAGUGGAAACUACAUAGCUAGAGUAAGGUAGGGGUAGAGGGAAUUCCUGGUGUAGCGGUGAAAUGCGUAGAGAUCAGGAAGAACACCGGUGGCGAAAGCGCUCUGCUGGACCUUAACUGACACUGAGGGACGAAAGCUAGGGGAGCGAAUGGG